UGAGUCUGCUGGCGUCGGAUGGACACGGUGCGCAUUUUUAUUCUAAAAAAUAGUUUUUAGUGGUUCCUCGCAAGUUUUUUCACAAGAAAAGUUGUAACUAAUCACGAAGGAAGUGAAUUUUACCAAAAAACGAUCUACUUUGAACGACGCCUGUGAAGUAGAGUUGCAAGAACCGCUACAAUCUACAUCGAAAGAAGAAGAGAAAGAUACACGUAAAAUGAAAAAAGAAAGAGUGAACAAAAGAACUAAUAACAAUAGGAUGGUGGAAUCAUUAAGAGGGAAGGAAAAAGAAGUGAAUUUUACCAAAAAACGAUCUACUUUGAACGACGCUUGUGAAGUAGAGUUGCAAGAACCGCUACAAUCUACAUCGAAAGAAGAAAAAGAUAUGCUUAAAAUGAAAGAAGAAAGAGUAACGAAAAGAUCUAUUAACAACAGGAUGGUGGAAUCACUAAGAGGGAAGGAAAACGAUAUGCCGAAUUCCUCCGAAGUAAAUAACGAUCUCAACGAGGGAGACUUUAUUCUUGCUGCAUUUCAGUCGAUCAAAGGCAAAAGAACCUACAAAUACGUUUGCCUUAUUGAUCAAAUCAACCAAGAAAAAAUUUUAGUAAAAGGACUCAAAUCUUAUAAAAAUAACAGAGAAUUUAGGUUAGUUGAAGAUGAUAUUUCAAUUAUAGAAAAAAAAGAUGUGAUCUCACGUUUACCAAAACCUGUGUUAAAUGAACAAAGAGACACUGUGAUAUUUCCUUAUAAGGUAGAGAUAUUUGAAUGUAAGUAAACAAGUUACCCUUUCUGAGAGAAUGGACAUUUGGGAAAUGUAAACAAUUAUUCAUAUAGUAUUAAGUACAAAAACGUUAUUUAAUUUAAGUGUUAAAACUAAUUUCAUGUUACUAAUAGAAGCUUAUAAACGUAAUAAAUUACGUUACGUUACGAUUUUUCAUAUUAAUUAGUAUGGUAUUCAGUACAAAAACUUUAUUUAAUUUAAGUAUAUACCAAAAGACUUAUUUCUUGUUAGUUACUAGUAAAUAGUUUCAAAAUAUAACUAAAAAAGACUGUAUAAAUAAACAUAAAAUAUUUUAUUAUUAUGAUUAAUAAAAAUAAGCUAGACAAAAUAGUUUAAGUAUGCAUAAAAAACUUUUUUCUUGGCAUUAAUUAAAGCUAGGAAACGUAACUUUGCAACCUUACUAAUUAGUAAAUAGUUUGAUAAAAGUU